AACAAGUGACUGUGCUGGAGAAAUAGGCUAUGCCUCAAAAACCUGUCCUCGAUUCUCCGGAGCAAAAAUCAAUACUCGAGGAACUGGGAUGAUAUUUGAUCCUACUAUUGUAUUCGGUAUAGUGAGGGGCCAUAUGGCUAGUAUACUGGAUUUUCAGCGUUCAGCAGACGGAGCAGAAAUGUACUUCCGGUGUGGCGGCUGGUGUGGACGAUGCGGUCCAGUUGAAGAAGAAAUGAAAUUUAUUUUGACAUCAGAAGCGGUUCCAGUUUCAGAAGGACUGUCGGUGAUUUGUCCAGUGAAAUGAACUCCAUGGUUCCAUAAAUCAUCCUCAUCAUAACGACAAUGGAAUAUGUCCUCUGGAACAGGAAUUUGGAACAACUGACUUCUACAAUAAUUUGAAAUUGAUU